rnacentral:rRNA from 1 species
CCCUUAGAUGUUCUGGGCCGCACGCGCGCUACACUGACUACUUCAACGAGUUGUUUCCUUGAUCGAAAGGUCUGGGUAAUCUUUGAAAGGUAGUCGUGAUGGGGAUAGAUCCUUGCAAUUUUUGAUCUUCAACGAGGAAUUCCUAGUAAACGCAAGUCAUCAGCUUGCAUUGAUUACGUCCCUGCCCUUUGUACACACCGCCCGUCGCACCUACCGAUUGAAUGGUCCGGUGAAUCUUUAGGACUGUGGCUGAGGCCUUGCCUUAUGCGGGUCUGGCCGUGGGAAUUUAGUUAAACCUUACCAUUUAGAGGAAGGUGAAGUCGUAACA